CAGUAUAAGGCAACUGUCGAAUUUGGUAUUCUUGGGUAUGGUUCAUCAAAUUUUCUGAUGACUAGGCUUCAUUUUUCUUCAUCUUCUUUUGAGUAGAGAACCUCAUGUUUUGAUUGUUUUCACUGCCCUUUAAUUGGCAGCGUACUCAUUUAACAGUCAUUCUCAAGUAUAAAUUUCUGCUUGUCAAUAUGAUCAAAUUUUGAGAACCAAGAAUGAUAUAUACCGAUAAAUCAAUUUGAUUGAAUUAGUCACUUGCAUGCUUCCUAAUGUAAGUCUUAUUGUACCUGGAAAAAAGACGUACAACAGGGAAAGGGAAAAGAACAGUUCCACGCCCUCCACCAGUUCCAUACAUUCAUCGUCCACCUCCUACUCAUGAACCAAGUUCAAUAUCAACACCCGUAGGGGAUGGCCGAAGCGAUGAAGCGGUAUGCUUUCCUGCAUUGUUGUAAUACUUUCUGAAGUAUGUGAAAGUAUGUUUAGGACUUAUCUACUGGUUUUUCUUUGUUUCUGAACUAAUACAGUUUGCAAGAAGAACAAGAGAAGGACAAGAACACCAGAUUUAACUACAGUGUAAACCUUCCACAAGGAAACCUCACUGUGAGAUUUUAUAGUAGUCCACACUUAAAACAAUCCACUAAUAGCAAAUAGAGUUACAGUUUCUAUCAAGCAGUGAAGUACAAUACAUUCACGUUUACUAGCAUACAAACUAGCUUGACCUUUUACAACUGAUCUUCCUAUUCUACAAGCAAUGGAUCCAGUCUUGAACAGAUGCACUGAGCCCUCCUUGUUUGCCAAUACACUGAUCUCGAUCACAAUGAAAUGACAGAUGCAAUGAAGCAAUAACAAAGGAAUGAGAGUAUUUCACCAAAACAAAAUAUGCGGUAGUGCUGCAACAAGAACACAAUGUGUCUAUCAAAA
rnacentral:lncRNA from 1 species